AUAUAUUUUUUUUAAUAUCGAGGCAGAAUUUCUGCACCCUCUCCUUUGGUUGUUUUGUUUCAGCCAUAUUGGAGGGUUUUUGAGUAAGGACACUGCACUUUGACGAUUGUCAUGGAAACAUAUCAAAUCAACACAUACUAAAAACUCAGGUGAUAAAGUUUUACUUACUUUAGUUGAGAUUUUAGACAACUCAGGGCUGCAUCAAUGGUAUUAAUGAAAUUGUUCAGUGGACUGAUGAAAAUGCUUCUAUAAUGAAAACAGCACAAAACAAAGAAAUUGUGGAUCAUUUCACGAUUGUCAUACAGUUCCCAUAGCAUUCAUAAUGGAGAAAUCAAUAAGAGAUAUCCUGUCCAGGAGUGACACUGAAAACAAAGCAGAAGGCUGGAAGGCUGGACUAAUGUGAUUCUUUACUACCAGGAAGUCCACAAAAUGCAGCUGAAAGCCACCAGCUGAUCCAAAACGCUGCAGUGGCAGUUCUGAUGAAAAUUAAAAAGAGAGAUUAUAUUUCUCCUA